rnacentral:rRNA from 1 species
GACGGGGCCCGGCACAAGCGGUGGAUCAUGUGGUUUAAUUCGAAGCAACGCGAAGAACCUUACCAGGCCUUGACAUGCAGAGAACUUUCCAGAGAUGGAUUGGUGCCUUCGGGAACUCUGACACAGGUGCUGCAUGGCUGUCGUCAGCUCGUGUCGUGAGAUGUUGGGUUAAGUCCCGUAACGAGCGCAACCCUUGUCCUUAGUUACCAGCACGUUAUGGUGGGCACUCUAAGGAGACUGCCGGUGACAAACCGGAGGAAGGUGGGGAUGACGUCAAGCCAUCAUGGCCCUUACGGCCUGGGCUACACACGUGCUACAAUGGUCGGUACAAAGGGUUGCCAAGCCGCGAGGUGGAGCUAAUCCCAUAAAACCGAUCGUAGUCCGGAUCGCAGUCUGCAACUCGACUGCGUGAAGUCGGAAUCGCUAGUAAUCGUGAAUCAGAAUGUCACGGUGAAUACGUUCCCGGGCCUU